rnacentral:rRNA from 1 species
UACGUAGGUGACAAGCGUUGUCCGGAUUUACUGGGCGUAAAGAGCGCGCAGGCGGUCGUUCAAGUCGAGUGUGAAAGCCCCCGGCUCAACUGGGGAGGGUCAUUCGAUACUGAUCGACUCGAAGGCAGGAGAGGGAAGUGGAAUUCCAGGUGUAGCGGUGAAAUGCGCAGAUAUCAGGAGGAACACCGAUGGCGAAGGCAGCUCGCUGGGACGGUACUGACGCUGAGGCGCGAAAGCGUGGGGAGCAAACAGG